UACGUAGGGGGCUAGCGUUGUCCGGAAUCAUUGGGCGUAAAGCGCGUGUAGGCGGUCCGGUAAGUCCGCUGUGAAAGUCGAGGGCUCAACCCUCGAAUGCCGGUGGAUACUGUCGGGCUAGAGUACGGAAGAGGCGAGUGGAAUUCCUGGUGUAGCGGUGAAAUGCGCAGAUAUCAGGAGGAACACCAAUUGCGAAGGCAGCUCGCUGGGACGUUACUGACGCUGAGACGCGAAGGCGUGGGGAGCAAACAGG
rnacentral:rRNA from 1 species